UACGUAGGGUCCGAGCGUUGUCCGGAAUUAUUGGGCGUAAAGAGCUCGUAGGCGGUUUGUCGCGUCUGCUGUGAAAUCCCGAGGCUCAACCUCGGGCCUGCAGUGGGUACGGGCAGACUGGAGUGCGGUAGGGGAGAAUGGAAUUCCUGGUGUAGCGGUGGAAUGCGCAGAUAUCAGGAGGAACACCGAUGGCGAAGGCAGUUCUCUGGGCCGUAACUGACGCUGAGGAGCGAAAACGUGGGGAGCGAACAGG
rnacentral:rRNA from 1 species